GAGGCUCUGAGGACACAGCAACCUUACAGUUAGAAGAUUGCCCAGAUAUCGACCUUCGCGAGACCAUCAACUUGCUCAGUGGACAGUCUCCACUGACUGAGGAUGCAUACACAAAAAUCCUGGAACUGUGUUUAUCCUGGGAUCUUCCUGGUCCAACAGAUGAAAACAGAAGGUGGCUUUACGAACGCCUUUUGUCUCAUGCGGUUAUUGGGAGAAGAACACGCCAAAUCAAACAAAUUAAACGAGGGCUGAAAGACACUUUUGUUUGGAAUCUUUUAAC